CGGGGUGUAGCUCAGUCCGGUUAGAGUGUGCGUCUGGGGGGCGUGAGGUCGCAAGUUCGAAUCUUGUCACCCCGACCA
rnacentral:tRNA from 2 species